rnacentral:lncRNA from 1 species
GCACUAUCAAAUGGAGGAAGAUUCUCACGAGGAUGGUCAUGAAGAACCAAAGACACUCCGAGAGGCGGAAGCGUCUCCGAGGCUCAGUAGGGUAGCUCCCCAGAAGCCGUGCUCCAUCGCAGGUGGGCGGCUGGGCAGUAGGAAGCUCUUUCGGCACCACCCUGCGGAACGGAAGCCUGGCCGACCUCACGUAGCCUGAACUGAGAAUCCGGAAAAGUGCUCAAGGAAAGCAGGUGACUUCUGGCAUCUGAACAGAAAUGGAAGGCGGGGAUUCCUUCAGAAUUCAGGGGGGCAUGCUACAAGAUCGAUAUAGGCCCUUGUUGGUCGAGANNNNNNNNNNNNNNNNNNNNNNNNNNNNNNNNNNNNNNNNNNNNNNNNNNNNNNNNNNNNNNNNNNNNNNNNNNNNNNNNNNNNNNNNNNNNNNNNNNNUCAGGGGGGCAUGCUACAAGAUCGAUAUAGGCCCUUGUUGGUCGAGAUCUUUCUCACUCAUGAAAAGAAAUGACCAGACGGAAAGAGAAGUAAAAGCCAAGCUCUCAGCUGUAUUCGUCUGCAAGAGGAGUCACCUUAAAGUUCCCCCGGAAAAGAGGAAAUUGAAUCAUUCUGGAGGAAGGCCUCGUGAAAACAUAAAAGAAGGAAGCCCUCCUGGAGCAUCUGAGGAGGACAGCGAGAGACACCAGCAGUGUCUCUGAAGGACUGACUUCUUGCGGAGGCUGGGUGGUGAUGCAGGGAGUGGUAACAGCGCCUCAGACUUCAGACCCAGCUGGGCAUUCGUGUCCAGACCCCACGGCUGUUUGACCUUCUGCAAGGCACUGAUCUCUCUGCUCUCAGAGCUUUUCCAUUUGUCAAAUGGAGAUCAUAUUCUGGAAUGGUUGUGAUGAUGAAAUGUGUACAGUCAUGGGAAGGCCUAGAGCAGGCUUUGAGACACAGUGAGUGCUGUGCAAUGAGUGUUCAACAAAAUGAAGAGGCGUGUUCUCAAGGUGUUUCCAUCAUAUUGUCAUAAGAGGGUUUGGGAGGAGGCUGCGUACUUCAAGGACAAAUAAGGCUAGCCUGACGCUGGAUGAUUUGAGAGACUGGGAAGGGGAGACAGAAAAUUACGAGUAAUGUAGGGGACAGCGACCAGACUGCCGCCUAUGAUAGAAGAGAAAUAGAUACUUGGUCUCUGCCCCUGGUUCCCGGCACACAGCUCCUACAGCCAUUGGAGUCUGAAGGUGAGAGUCACUUGUGUGAUGAUGAGAUGAUUGGUACCGAGGAUGAAUCUGGUCCCUAGAAAAACCAAGUGACGCCUGGGGGAUUGGAACUUGAAACUCCAUCUCAGACCUCUGUUGCUGGUGGAAAGGAGCUGGAGGUUAAGUUCAUUAUCAAUGACCAAUUAUUGAAUCAACCAUUCCAACAUAAUGAAACUUCCAUAAAUAACCCUAAAUGAUGGGGUUUGGGGAACACCCAAGUUGGUGAGAACGUGGAGAUUCUGAAAAGGCAGCACCUAGAGAGACCACGGACAGCUCUCCAUACCUGACCCUGUGAAACUCCGCAACGUGGCUGCAGCCCAGUUGUAUCCUUUAUAAGUAAACAGCAACGGUCAGCAAAGUGUUUCCCGAAGUUCUGUGAGCCAUUCUAGUGAGCUGUGGUCCCUAACGACGGGGUCGUGGGGACCCGCACUUUAUAGCCAGCUGUUAGAAGUUCAGGUGCAGUGCAGAACUUGUAACUAGUCUGAAAAUGGGGCAGUCUUGUGGGGCUGAGCCUUCAACUUGUUUCUGGAAGUUCACGUCAGAAUUGGUUGAAUUGUAGGACACUAAGUUGGUGUCCAGAGAGUUAGAGAAUGGAUUGAUAUGAGGAAAACACCCUGUGUGUGGUGUCAGAAAUUGUGUUGAAAAGCAGUGCAGGUCAUGUGAGCCCCCAUAGGAGGCUGGCUGUAACCCAUGCAGGCGGGGCUUUCAGGCACCAUGGCCUUAAAGAUCCCAGAGGCUGAGCUUCCUUUGGAGGGGGUGGAAUGACACCAGGAAUGGAAUUUUAAAUAAUCCAUGCAGUCCUGAGCCAAAAGCUACGCAGGGCCCUGAGAGCCUGGGUCUUUCUUCAUGACUCUGAGCGUGUAUGUCCCCUAGAUAUCACAUGAUUAAAGGCAAGAGGAGAAGGCCCUUGAAAGUGAAUUGAUUAAUGUUGGAUUGCUCAUAAAUUUUGCCAAGUGUGAGCUGGGUCUGGAUUUAAUUUCUUUUCUCAAAAACAAACAAACAAAACUGGAAUGUGACCUUGGUUGCUUUCAAAUCUAUCAACUAUAUUGAUCUUUUUUAUUCUUUCAUCUUGCUGCUUUUUAAGUAUUACGGACAAUUGUGAGGCUGGGAUGAUUUUGCCAAAUGUGGUGGAAUUUUAUCAUGAAUUGUGGGAAGCAUAAAGCUGCCAAACAGCUUGAGGGAAUACCAUUGGAAAUGAGUUAUGAUUUUCACCAAAAUUUGCCUUUCUAGUGCUGUGAAAGUGCAGCACUCAAUAUGCCAGCAAAUUUGGAAAACUCAGC